UGUCGCUGAGACAUUCUGAUUUCCAUAGCAUGCUUUAAUUUUACUUAAUUUCAAUGCUCAAUCUAUCAUUUUCUGUAUGAAAGUGUUUUCAGUGCUUAGGAGAAUAUAAUUCACCCCACUCUUAAAAUUAUCAUUGCUCACCUAUUUUCAAGUGCCAAGUCUAAUAAGUAUUCUCAAUGCCUUAACUACCACCACUUCAUUAGAAGGAAGCAUAGAGGAAAGCCUUAGUAAUUGUCAUUCUCCUAUGUGCCAGGGUUAUUAGUGCCUCUCUUUGCACCAGCAGUGGAAUCACUGUUGAAAUCACACUAAGGAAUAAUCCAACUGCAAAAUCCUAUCCUGAGAAUAUUCUUUCAAGCACCACUCUGAUUAUCAACUCUUUUUUGAGUUAUAAAAAAGCAGAGCCCAAGACAAAAAAAGUAAAAGGUAUGUGCUAAUAAGUUAUUAAGGCAUGCAAACUGAGGAAAUCAAAGGUAAAAGAAAAGAAGAGGAAUGAAGAAGAGAAAGAAGAAGAGCCAAUAUAAAAGUACAUUGGUGAGUUGUCUACGGCUUAGUAUCAUACAACUAAUAAUUCAUUCCCUUGGUGCAGUCUUGUAAGAGACCACUUACAGUAAUGCAUUCCAGGACAAUCCAUGCAGGGAAGGAUGGGAGGACCUAGGCUCUGAUUGCUACAAUCAUUUGUCAAAUAUCUGCCACGUAGGGCAUCAUACUGUUGGAUAUAAAGCGUUCAUGUGGGUGUAGUGUUCAUGCCUCAGUGGCAGCAGGACAAUCCCCAAAUAAGGAGCAAGAGACAUAUGAUGUAGCCAAGAGGCAAAAUGCUGUUGAAUUUUGCCUUCCUGAAUCUGACUGAUGCUCAUGCAGAAAUGUUUGCCGCAGUGGUGGCUGGAACAAAACAAGGGCCAAGGGCCCUGGAGAUGGAUGAGGCUAAGAAAGAUCUGAAGUGUUAUGUAAGAGUUUUCUGACACAAUUAAGGUAAGCAAUUUAUUAAUCAAUAUAUAAUAUGUAAAAAGUAUACAUUUUAGCCCUUCUAACAAUUUUAUUAUCUGGGCCCUUGAUAGAUGCUAUAGUCAAAUGACUCUCAGAUGCUCUUUUUGCAAAAAUAAAACAUUCAAUUUUGUGACAUUUGUGUAGUUUCUUUUCAUAUAAUUUGAUAUAAUGUGAUUUCUCCUAAAGAGAUACUGUUAAAAUAUCUUGGUGACACUAAUAAUGCUAUUGUUGAUUAGAGUUUACUUAGAGAGAUCUGUGUGUAACUGUGCUAUGAAUCUAAGUACCUAUGGUACUUAUGGUUGUAUCUACUUCCCUUAGGUUUACAGUGGCCCUUUAUGAGUUUGAUUUCUGAGGAACCACAGUGACCUUUUCCUCCACAAGCUGAAGAAUAAACAUUUUGGUGUAAUAUGAAGUUAGGCCCUCUGCCAACCAACAGGGCACUGUCCUCAGUUGUUGGGAUAUUUCUUGGUGAACCACUUAAAUAUUUUACUAUUGGAAAAAGAACAAAUAAAGAGUAUGCAUAUUGAUACAUUGAGAGAACAUAUAGUUUGUAAACUCAUAUAAGGAAAUGAUGGAUGUCAUUGGGCACACAGAAACCAGCAGAUUUUUAGCUUUAACUGGGUGCUAAUUCAAUGUAAUCUGAUUUACUAUGUGCUCAACUGGGAAAGAAAAGCAUAAAAUUGAAAUAAUAUUUGAAAUGUGGGAAAGUUACCUAUGAAGGCUUCCAAAGUUAAGGCAUACAUAGAAAUUUUUACUGUUUUCUUACUUUUCUUGGAUCAAUUCCUCCUUUAAACAUAUAUAUUCUUUUUUGUCUUUGGAAAUGUGACUUUCAGAUUUAUUUUUUUCAGGAGUAUGUUUUGUACGACUGUGAUAUUUUAUCUUCCCUUUUGAGUAACCUUACUGCAAAAGUGUGUGGGGAGAAGAUUGUGUAAAGCUGUCCUCAUUAGGAAACUAGGGAUUGAAGAGAUUUAGAGAGAGAAGGAAUCAAACACAUUUUACCUUUGGAAGGAGUAAACUACAUUGGGAUAUGUUAUUUCAAAUAAAGUUACACAAAGUGGCCUUGUUUUCCUAGAUCAUGGCUUCUACACCUAGUAUGUCAGAUGAGAAAUCAAGAUCUAGUGACAGUGACAGUGGCAUUGAUACUGGAAGUGACAGCUGUAAUAUCAGUGAGACCACAGAGAGUUUGUUAUCAUUUGAUGUGUCUGAAGAAGAAAACAUCGAAUCUUAGAAGACAUACUGGGGGAGCCAGCUUCUAGGCAACUGACACGUACAUCAAACCUUGUUUGUUUCAGAAUCCGUGGCUAGGAGCUGAUAGCAGAAGUGUCCUUUGCUUGGUGAUGCUAAAACUAAAAAAAAGUUACGUGAUGCGUAAGACUGUGAAAGCCUAAAUACAUGCUCCCCAAAUCAUAACAUACAGGGCUAAAUUUAGGAUUGAGUGACAGUUUGAUGCAGGAAUAUCUGAAGCUCGGGAACACAAUCUUAACACAAUCAGGGGAUGAUAACUUUGGAAGAACCAUGCCCUUGAGGACAACAGCCAGACCAUUUCUUACACAGGAAGACCCAUGUCACCAAGAAGUGCUGACAAUGUUUUCAAGUUGAUCUCAUUCAGGACAGAAAAAGAUUAGCAGUAUAAUCCUUGUGUAGAAAAUAGAUUUUGCCCUUUGAAGUUUUGUUGUUUUGCAGCACGGGUCCUGCUGAUUAGCUGCCAUACCUAUAGCACCUUCUUUGCCUUCCUGUUUUAUUUGUUUAAGUGAGAACAUGAGAAAGGAAGCUAACAU